rnacentral:rRNA from 1 species
AUUGAACGCUGGCGGAAUGCUUUACACAUGCAAGUCGAGCGGCAGCGCGGGGCAACCUGGCGGCGAGCGGCGAACGGGUGAGUAAUGCAUCGGAACGUACCCCGUCGUGGGGGAUAACUACCCGAAAGGGUAGCUAAUACCGCAUACGACCUGAGGGUGAAAGCGGGGGACCGAAAGGCCUCGCGCGAUGGGAGCGGCCGAUGCCGGAUUAGCUAGUUGGUAGGGUAAAGGCCUACCAAGGCGACGACCCGUAGCUGGUCUGAGAGGACGACCAGCCACACUGGAACUGAGACACGGUCCAGACUCCUACGGGAGGCAGCAGUGGGGAAUUUUGGACAAUGGGCGAAAGCCUGAUCCAGCCAUUCCGCGUGAGUGAAGAAGGCCUCGGUUGUAAG